ACGCACGCUGGCGGCGUGCUUCACCCCUGCCAGUCGAACGGAAAGGCCCUGCUUUUCUGGGGUGCUCGAGUGGCGAACGGGUGAGUAACACGUGAGUAACCUGCCCUUGACUUUGGGAUAACUUCAGGAAACUGGGGCUAAUACCGGAUAGGAGCUCCUGCUGCAUGGUGGGGGUUGGAAAGUUUCGGCGGUUGGGGAUGGACUCGCGGCUUAUCAGCUUGUUGGUGGGGUAGUGGCCUACCAAGGCUUUGACGGGUAGCCGGCCUGAGAGGGUGACCGGCCACAUUGGGACUGAGAUACGGCCCAGACUCCUACGGGAGGCAGCAGUGGGGAAUAUUGCACAAUGGGCGGAAGCCUGAUGCAGCAACGCCGCGUGCGGGAUGACGGCCUUCGGGUUGUAAACCGCUUUCGCCUGUGACGAAGCGUGAGUGACGGUAAUGGGUAAAGAAGCACCGGCUAACUACGUG
rnacentral:rRNA from 1 species